rnacentral:rRNA from 1 species
AGUGAACGCUGGCGGCAGGCCUAACACAUGCAAGUCGAACGGCAGCACAGGGGAGCUUGCUCCCUGGGUGGCGAGUGGCGGACGGGUGAGGAAUACAUCGGAAUCUACCCUGUCGUGGGGGAUAACGUAGGGAAACUUACGCUAAUACCGCAUACGACUUCCGGGUGAAAGCAGGGGAUCGCAAGACCUUGCGCGAUUGGAUGAGCCGAUGUCCGAUUAGCUAGUUGGCGGGGUAAAGGCCCACCAAGGCGACGAUCGGUAGCUGGUCUGAGAGGUUGAUCAGCCACACUGGAACUGAGACACGGUCCAGACUCCUACGGGAGGCAGCAGUGGGGAAUAUUGGACAAUGGGCGAAAGCCUGAUCCAGCCAUGCCGCGUGGGUGAAGAAGGCCUUCGGGUUGUAAAGCCCUUUUGUUGGGAAAGAAAACUUUCCGGUUAAUACCCGGAGAGAAUGACGGUACCCAAAGAAUAAGCACCGGCUAACUUCGUG